UCUUCGCGGAGGGUGCUCUCGCGCGGGGCCUGUUGUUUCGGCAACGUCGGGAAUGAUCUAUUUAUAGAAAUGACUCCAUCUACGCUGUGUUGCUAUGCCGUUGCAACGAUGUAACGCAGUUAGUUACUUUCCGGAGAUAGGGCAAGCGGAGCCGGUGAGGGGAAAGAAGAGAGAGGGCGAGGACGAGAAAGAAGGGGAAGAGAGUUGGUAGGAACGAACGCGACGGCCAUACCGGAUGCGAGAUCUUCGGGAAUGCGACGUUGUCGGCGCUCGCGCCCUGGCCAUUAUAUAUUAACGAUCCAACGCAUCAUCAAACUUUGGCAUUUUAGAGCCCGUGAGCCGCGAUCGGGAUCCCAUCUCGAUACAUUAUUUUCACUCGGGCUUGUGGUGUAUACGACGACGAAAUAUAUAACGAAAAGUAAAUCGACGGGGGGGGGGUACGCGACAAAAAAUCGUAGCCGUUGGACAUUGGACGCGCGCGCACGGUGGUGUACGGAAUUAGAUGCACGCGCAGGCAGUAGCUAGGACUCGACAGGUUCAGAGCUGGCAUAAUAAUAACAUUACGAUCGGUUGGUUUUCUCCCACGCCAAGACAAAAGUGCCCCGCUGCUGCCGCCGCCACGACCACGACCGUCACCGCCGCCGCCGCCGCCGCCACCGCCGCCGCCGCCGCCGCCGCCGCCGCCGCCGCCGCCGCCGCCGCUGCCACCACCGGCUGCUCACCAAUACGCGCAGCGCAUUAUAUACCAAACGGCUUCGCGGGCCGCACAUAGUACUACUAUUUUUCCCUGGCCAAGAGCAUAAAUCGAGGGCGCUCUCCUCCUUCCCCCUUCUUUUCAUACAUACAUGUGACUACACGGUCUAUGUCUCACUCCGUGUGCGUGUACUUUCCCCAGUACAUAAGGUAAAAAAAAAAAAAGUCUCCUACACCGUACAACACCAUAUGUGCCAGCUCUGAGCUCAAUGUAUACUCGUACAUAUUUAAUAAUAAUACCUAUAUACCGCAUUCGGUACAUCACGA